rnacentral:rRNA from 1 species
GACAGAGGUCCCGAGCGUUAGGCGGAAUCACUGGGCUUAAAGCGUGUGUAGGCGGAUCGUUAAGUACCUUGUGAAAACCUGCAGCUUAACUGUGGGCGUGCGGUCGAUACGGGCAUCACUGGAGUUCGGCAGGGGAGACUGGAAUUCCUGGUGUAGCGGUGAAAUGCGCAGAUAUCAGGAGGAACACCGGUGGCGAAGGCGGGUCUCUGGGCCGAUACUGACGCUGAGGAGCGAAAGCGUGGGGAGCAAACAGG